CCUACGGGUGGCAGCAGUGGGGAAUAUUGGACAAUGGGCGCAAGCCUGAUCCAGCCAUGCCGCGUGAGUGAUGAAGGCCUUAGGGUUGUAAAGCUCUUUUGUCCGGGAAGAUAAUGCCGGUACCUGAAGAAUAAGCUCCGGCUAACUUCGUGCCAGCCGCCGCGGUAAUACGAAGGGAGCUAGCGUUGUUCGGAAUUACUGGGCGUAAAGCGCAUGCCGGCGGAUUGUUAAGUCGGGGGUGAAAUCCCAGGGCUCAACCCUGGAGCUGCCUUCGAUACUGGCAAUCUGGAGUCCGGGAGAGGUGAGUGGAACUGCGAGUGUAGAGGUGAAAUUCGUAGAUAUUCGGAAGAACACCAGUGGCGAAGGCGGCUCACUGGCGCGGUACUGACGCUGAGAUGCGAAAGCGUGGGGAGCAAACAGGAUUAGAUACCCUUGUAGUC
rnacentral:rRNA from 1 species